CAAGCGGAGGAGCAUGUGGUUUAAUUCGAUGCAACGCGAAGAACCUUACCUGGUCUUGACAUCCCGGAGACCCUUAGGAAACUAGGGGGUGCUUCCAUCUGGAAGAAUCUGGAGACAGGUGCUGCAUGGCUGUCGUCAGCUCGUGUCGUGAGAUGUUGGGUUAAGUCCCGCAACGAGCGCAACCCUUGCCUUUAGUUGCCAGCAGUUCGGCUGGGCACUCUAAAGGGACUGCCGGUGUUAAACCGGAGGAAGGUGGGGAUGACGUCAAGUCCUCAUGGCCUUUAUGACCAGGGCUACACACGUACUACAAUGGCCGAUACAAAGGGCAGCGACACUGCGAGGUGAAGCCAAUCCCGUAAAAUCGGUCUCAGUCCGGAUUGGAGUCUGCAACUCGACUCCAUGAAGUUGGAAUCGCUAGUAAUCGUGGAUCAGCAUGCCACGGUGAAUACGUUCCCGGGCCUU
rnacentral:rRNA from 1 species